rnacentral:rRNA from 1 species
UAGGGAAUCUUCCGCAAUGGGCGAAAGCUUGACGGAGCAACGCCGCGUGAGUGAUGAAGGUCUUCGGAUCGUAAAACUCUGUUAUUAGGGAAGAACAAAUGUGUAAGUAACUAUGCACGUCUUGACGGUACCUAAUCAGAAAGCCACGGCUAACUACGUGCCAGCAGCCGCGGUAAUACGUAGGUGGCAAGCGUUAUCCGGAAUUAUUGGGCGUAAAGCGCGCGUAGGCGGUUUUUUAAGUCUGAUGUGAAAGCCCACGGCUCAACCGUGGAGGGUCAUUGGAAACUGGAAAACUUGAGUGCAGAAGAGGAAAGUGGAAUUCCAUGUGUAGCGGUGAAAUGCGCAGAGAUAUGGAGGAACACCAGUGGCGAAGGCGACUUUGUGGUCUGUAACUGACGCUGAUGUGCGAAAGCGUGGGGAUCAAACAGG